UAGAUGGGAGCUCGUUGGUCGGAGCACUUAGCUGUUAACUAAGAAGUUGAAGGAUCGAAACCUUUUCAUCUAG
rnacentral:tRNA from 1 species